AAGCCCCGCUUCUAGUAUAUCUGCAGUGAGCCGAAUAACAUGAACUAACCACAGUUUUUACUGUACAUAACUUCGUCAUUAACCCGAUGUUCUUGGACAAUGAAAUUAAGAGAAUACACUCAUUUCUGUAUCUUAAAUAUGAGCGUCAGACAUAGGACGUAGCGGAUUUCACACGCCGCAGUGCGCAGCUCUGAGGCGCAGGAUCGGGAAGUCGGACCGGAAACUCUCUCUGUAGUCUCGGAGAAGCCGUGAACAGCUCUAUUCCUUAAUCACGUCUCAACCGAAUGAUGGCUUCUUCAGGAGUAAUCUUCAAAACGUAGCUGCUUCUGUACUGUGGUCAAAGAUGUAAUCCUUUGUCUUCUGUGCUGAUCAUAAGAUAAGCAGCAGUACUAUUGGAGCAGAGAAGGUGUUGGCUCAUCAUAUCUAUGGUUACCGAGCCGGUUGUCUGGCCAGACGGUGUAUAGGGAAGCCUUGGUUGAAAGUGUUUCUGGAGUUGGACAAAACGAGGCUCUCUGAAGCACUGAAUCAAUAUGAAAUGACUGCAUAGAAAACAUUUACUUUGAGCAUAUGAUGCAGUAAAAAAUUGAAAGAUCUGCUGUCCAAAUCCUUGAUAUUGCAUUUCUAUCAGUGGAGCAAAGUGGCGACUAUGAUAAAA